rnacentral:misc_RNA from 1 species
UGGUGCUGGAGGUGGAGGAGGGAAUGAUGUCGAGCUGAUGUGCAAGACGUUACAGGUGGAGCACAAGCUGUUCUAUUUCGAUCUGAAGGAGAACCCUCGUGGACGUUAUUUGAAGAUUUCUGAGAAGACUUCUGCCACCAGGUCUACCAUCAUCGUCCCUUCCUCUGGGAUUUCUUGGUUCUUGGAUCUCUUCAAUUACUAUGUCAAUUCUGAUGAUCAGGACCUCUUUAGCAAAGAAUUGCAGCUCGACACCAAGGUGUUCUACUUUGAUAUUGGUGAAAACAGGAGAGGCCGCUUCUUGAAGGUAUCUGAAGCUUCUGUUAGUAGAAAUCGGAGUACCAUAAUUGUUCCUGCUGGAAGUGCCCGGAAUGAAGGUUGGGCAGCAUUCAGAAAUAUUUUAGCAGAGAUCAAUGAAGCUUCAAGGCUAUUUAUAAUGCCCAAUCAGCAAAAUUCUGAAUCUUCAGAGCGCCUUGUUGGCCUUUCGGAUGAUGUAGGGGCUGGCUUCAUAUCUGGCCACAAUAGCCAACCUGCUUCAGCAUCUGAAUUGAAUGUAGAUAGGUCAGUUGAACUAACAGCACAGGAAGAAAUUGGAAAUAUGGGGGUUUCAAAGGUGAUCAGAGCUGACCAGAAGAAAUUCUUCUUUGAUCUUGGUAGCAACAACAGAGGUCAUUUCUUGAGAAUUUCUGAGGUUGCUGGUUCUGACAGGUCCUCCAUAAUUCUCCCACUGUCUGGGCUGAAGCAGUUUCAUGAAAUAGUGGGGCAUUUUGUGGAGAUAACAAAAGAUAGAAUUGAAGGAAUGACAGGUGCAAAUGUUCGGACUGUGGAUCCCCCACAGAGAUGAAUGUGAAUAACUCCUGGAGGCUAAUGUAUGUUGAUGAAACGUGUUAUUCAUAUUUG